CUACGUGCCAGCAGCCGCGGUAAUACGUAGGGUGCGAGCGUUAAUCGGAAUUACUGGGCGUAAAGCGAGCGCAGACGGUUACUUAAGCAGGAUGUGAAAUCCCCGGGCUCAACCUGGGAACUGCGUUCUGAACUGGGUAGCUAGAGUAUGUCAGAGGGGGGUAGAAUUCCACGUGUAGCAGUGAAAUGCGUAGAGAUGUGGAGGAAUACCGAUGGCGAAGGCAGCCCCCUGGGAUAAUACUGACGUUCAUGCUCGAAAGCGUGGGUAGCAAACAGGAUUAGAUACCCUGGUAGUCCACGCUGUAAACGAUGUCGAUUUGGGGGUUGAGCUUUAAGCUUGGCGCCCGUAGCUAACGUGAUAAAUCGACCGCCUGGGGAGUACGGCCGCAAGGUUAAAACUCAAAUGAAUUGACGGGGGCCCGCACAAGCGGUGGAGCAUGUGGUUUAAUUCGAUGCAACGCGAAGAACCUUACCUACUCUUGACAUCCAGAGAACAUUC
rnacentral:rRNA from 1 species